rnacentral:rRNA from 1 species
AUUGAACGCUGGCGGCAGGCCUAACACAUGCAAGUCGAACGGUAACAGAAAGCAGCUUGCUGCUUUGCUGACGAGUGGCGGACGGGUGAGUAAUGUCUGGGAAACUGCCUGAUGGAGGGGGAUAACUACUGGAAACGGUAGCUAAUACCGCAUAACGUCGCAAGACCAAAGAGGGGGACCUUCGGGCCUCUUGCCAUCGGAUGUGCCCAGAUGGGAUUAGCUAGUAGGUGGGGUAACGGCUCACCUAGGCGACGAUCCCUAGCUGGUCUGAGAGGAUGACCAGCCACACUGGAACUGAGACACGGUCCAGACUCCUACGGGAGGCAGCAGUGGGGAAUAUUGCACAAUGGGCGCAAGCCUGAUGCAGCCAUGCCGCGUGUAUGAAGAAGGGCUUCGGGUUGUAAAGUACUUUCAGCGGGGAGGAAGGGAGUAAAGUUAAUACCUUUGCUCAUUGACGUUACCCGCAGAAGAAGCACCGGCUAACUCCGUG